rnacentral:rRNA from 1 species
GACGUAGGAUGCAAGCGUUAUCCGGAAUUAUUGGGCGUAAAGAGUUCGUAGGUGGUUUGUUAAGUUGGAUGUUAAAUCUUUGAGCUCAACUCAAAAUUGGUAUCCAAAACUGGCAAGCUUGAGACAGGUAGAGGUAAACGGAAUUCUAUGUGUAGGGGUAAUAUCCGUAGAUAUAUAGAAGAACACCAAAAGCGAAAGCAGUUUACUGGACCUGUUCUGACACUCAAGAACGAAAGCGUGGGGAGCAAACAGG